rnacentral:lncRNA from 1 species
UCAUUCUUUGGUUGAUUUUAUUAUUUGUUUUCUUGAUGUGUUUUCUGUGUAAUUUUGUGUGCAAUGUUGGUCUUUAGCUUGGCAAAAAAUUUUUUUUUCCCUCGUACUAAGAGUUGCUGAAUUGGUAGUACUCCUUUGGUCAAAUUUGAAUUUUUUUUUCUUAAGCUGUUAUGAGAAGCCAACAUGUAACAAGACCUCUGUUGCAGUCGAUUUUCAAUUAAAGUUUCUUGUUGCACUUCAUUUGCGGUCGCAGCUGUAAUUGCCAAUGUUUUGUUUUUGGUGGAUGCUCCUUUUAUCAAAAUUGUGUUUUUUUAGCUGUGACGAGAUGCUAACAUGUAAGAAGACCUCUCUUGUAUUGGAUCUUCAAUGAAAUUCAUUUGUUACGCUUGGCUUCUGAGCUUUCCUUUUUGACUGUGGAGCUUUAUUCUAGACUCAUAUAAGCUAAAUGGCUGUGGAUGCUGUGGUUCUUAUCUUAUUAAGGAGGCUGCUUUCUGCUCCUUUGAGCGAAAUUAUUAUUAUUUCUUUUAAAGCUGUGAUGAGAUGCUAACAUGUAAGAAGACCUCUCUUGUAUUGGGUCUUCAAUGAAAUUUACUUGUUACGCUUGGCUUCUGAGCUUUCAUUCUUGGAUUGCAUAGCUUUAUUCUAAAAAUGAACGAACUAAAUGCAUUGGUUCUUGGAUGAUAAUUGUUUGGAAUUGUUAUAGAUGAGGCAUCAUUUAUGUUGUAGUUUGGAAUUGUUAUAGGUGAGGCAUCAUGUAUGUUGUAGUUGUCUUUGUUUUUUGGUUUCUUGUCUCAUUAGGGAUCCUUCCUGGUACUCCUUUGACCUUUUUUUUUUAAAGCCGUGACUAGAUGAUAACAUGUAAAAAUACCUUUCUUG